rnacentral:lncRNA from 1 species
AAGAAAGGUAGGCUGUGUGCGGCCCGCGGGGCCUCCGGGGAGGGAGAACUAUGGGGUCCCGGCUUAGUCAGCACUCCAGAGAAAGCCUGGGUAAGGGACCAGGGAGACCCUUGGGCCUGGCAGGGGGAAUCUUUGUUGCCCGAAAGGAGAUAAGGGAAAAGACAGAGUGCGCCCCUCUGACCAGAAGUUAGGAGAGCAAAGGGGGCGGUAACACCAAAAAGGGGAGGAGAAGCCAGAGAGACCCUUGCCUUGCAAUAAGGCUUAGCCCAUUAUUACUGCAUUUUAUUUAACUUGCUAUUAUAAUUAUGAUUAGUAUUAUUAUCGUGAUUGAUUUGUUUCCGCAAAAAACAAAUUUUCACAAAAUGCAAAUUACAGCUUGUCUCCCGUUUGACUGAGCUGAGGCUUCAGUGUGUUCUCAGUUUGGAGAGUCUGAGCUGAGUCUUCGCUUCUGCUUUUGGCUGGAAGGAAACAAAUGUUCUAGUAACUCUGAGAGGCCCUAGUUCUGCCAAAUAGAAGACAAGAGUCGUUGCCGCUUCCCUGCUCUCUCUGCCUCUCCUCCCGUGGCUCGUAGUUGAGGCUGGAGUUGCUAAGACCUGCAGAAGGAGCUCAAGGAGGCAAGAAAAGAAAAUGAGAACAGGAAACAUGCCCCAAAUCUCUCUCCAACAGUGGCUGCACAGACAGUUUCCCUAAACUGUUGUGUGCGUUCAGGGAGCGAGCGUGCAUGGGUGUGCGGGCUGGCGGGUGCGCAGCUGUCUGGGAGACAGAUGGCUCUGGGGUCAGGUUCUGACUAACUGCCCCCUCCCCUGACAGAUGCCAGUGAGGGCUGCACCGUGGUUGGUGGGGGCGUCCAGCCCUACCUAUAGGAGGCCCGUGCGCGGCAACGCAAGUAGGUGUCACAAUUGCUUUGGAAAAAAAAAGUCAGCAGCAGGCCAUUCUCUCUCCCCAAGUUCAUAAAUAUACAGAUAUAAAAAAACACGUCUCUAAACCCGGACCACAUCUUGUGCCACUGUAAAGGACAAGGAGCCACAGACUCUAACGGAACAGACUUUUGUUGGACAUACCGUGAAUUUGUUGGCAUAGUAUAGCUUCCCCAAUGUAUGUGUGACUUUUGAAAACAAUCUUUUUUCUCAGGAUAUCUUGAAUUGAUCACUUCAUUGCCACGGUAUAUAUUCUAUAGCUGUGAUAGGAUUUACUGUAAAAUUUAUUUGUAAAAGAUGUACACAGUAGAAAUAAAAUGUGAUUGAAAAACUUGAGUACUUAAGAA